GGAUGAGUCCUAAGUUUUGCCUCUCNCCGAUUCGUGGUGUUAGGUUGACGNGGAAGUUCUGCCCAUUCUCCUUGACUGCUCCGCCCUUNNNCGUUGCAAUCGUGGCCCAUGGGUUGCUACUAGUUCCGUCGGAUGCAGAACCUUUGAGGGGUGCACANNNUGUUGCUGCUGUUUACCCUCAAGGCAUUCAUCUAUCGAUGCAUACGACAGUUGUGCCCCGUUUUGNNCCCCUCUCUAAAUUGUUUAGAUGGGU
rnacentral:misc_RNA from 1 species